rnacentral:rRNA from 1 species
CGGUGGAGCAUGUGGUUUAAUUCGACGCAACGCGAAGAACCUUACCUGGGCUCGAACGGCUUCUGACGGCCGGUGGAAACAUGCCCCGCAGGGCGAGGUGUGACGAGCGCAACCCUUGUCCUGUGUUGCUACUGGGAUGUCAAGUAUCAUGGCCUUUAUGUCCAGGCUACAUACAUGGACGGUACAAGCGCUGCCAACCCGCGAGGGGGAGCUUCGCAAAAAACCGUUCUCAGUUCGGAUUGCAGUGCAACUCGCCUGCAUGAAGCUGGAAUCGCUAGUAAUGGAUAUCAGAACGAUGCCGUGAAUACGUUCCCGGGCCUUGUACACACCGCCGUCACGUCACGAAAGUGGAUUGUACUAGAAGCCUGCGCGCCAACCCGCAAGGGGGGUAGCGGUCCAAGUAUGAUUCAUGAUUGGGGUGAAGUCGUACAAGGU